rnacentral:rRNA from 1 species
AGCGAACGUUAGCGGCGGGCCUAACACAUGCAAGUCGAACGCGAAAGGUCUUCGGACUGAGUAGAGUGGCGCACGGGUGAGUAACACGUAGGUAAUCUACCCUUUGGCGGGGGAUAACGUUCCGAAAGGAGCGCUAAUACCGCAUAAGACCACGGAGUCUCCGGACGCUGUGGGAAAAGGUGGCCUCUUCUUGAAAGCUACCACCGAAGGAUGAGCCUGCGUCCCAUCAGCUAGUUGGUAAGGUAAUGGCUUACCAAGGCGAAGACGGGUAGCUGGUUUGAGAGAAUGAUCAGCCACACUGGCACUGGAACACGGGCCAGACUCCUACGGGAGGCAGCAGCGAGGAAUAUUGGGCAAUGGGCGAAAGCCUGACCCAGCCACGCCGCGUGAGUGAUGAAGGCCCUCGGGUCGUAAAGCUCUGUGGAGAGGGACGAAAACCCUGGUUUCAAAUAGGCUCCAGGCUUGACGGUACCUCUUUAGCAAGCACCGGCUAACUCUGUGCCAGCAGCCGACGG